GAUUACCGGGCGAACUUAAGCAUAUCACUAAGCGGAGGAAAAGAAACUAACCAGGAUUCCCCUAGUAACGGCGAGUGAAGAGGGAAUAGCCCAGCACCGAAGCCUGCGGUAGGUUUACUGCUAGGCAAUGUGGUGUUUGGGUCGACUCGCGGGAUUGCCACUCCACUCGAAGUCCAGCACUGAGUAUGGUUCCCUGGAUUUGGCCCAGAGAGGGUGAAAGGCCCGUGCGAGUGGAGGUUCAGACAUGUGAGGCAAUUCACCAGGUCGACCUUCGAGUCGGGGUGUUUGGGAAAUGCAGC
rnacentral:rRNA from 1 species